ACCCCGCGCCGACCGGCCCCGGUGCGCCCAGCGGAGCGGAGCGGAGCGCGCGGAGGGAGGAGUUUUCCCAGAAUGGGACUGACGGGAAAACACGGGGAUCCCUAUUCCUGGAGGAAUCCAGCCUGGUGCCUGGGAUAGGGAAGUGCAUGAUAAAUGCUGCAUAAAUGAAAAACAAUUGCUACCGUGGAAGAUAUUGAAAGGAAAGUGCUAUCGAUGCCAAAGUUGUUUCCAAGAGAGGUAUUCCAAAAGUGUUUCAAGCAAUGACUGAGCUAAGCAUCCAGUCCUGCAAGGUGAAGGCGUUGAAGACGCAGCCCUCAUUUGAAUAGAUGAAUUGUGGUAUUCUUGUUAAAUAAUGAAUCAUAUCAAGGCUUGGUCACACCUCAUGCACAUGAAAAGACCAAAACGCAAGGCAGCAUAUCAGCGCCACGUGAAGUACACACUAAGCACCAACUAUUUAAUUCAGCAAUCAUGGGGGGCCCGGUGGCUCACGCCUGUCAUCUUAGCAAUUUGGGAGGCCGAGGCAGGUGGAUCGCUUGAGCCCAGGAGUUCGAGAUCAGCCUGGGCAUCAUGGUGGCCUGCACCUGUAGUCCCAGCUACUCAGGAGGCUGAGGUGGGAGGAUAGUUUGACCCCAGAAAGUUGAGGCUGCAGUGAGCCGUGAAUGCACCACUACACACCAGCCUGGAUGACAGAGCGAAACCCUGUCUCAAAGUAAUUAAUAAUAAUUAUAUUAAUUCAGCAAUCAUUGGAGUGUUUGUUGACUUUGACACCGCACUAAGGGAAGGAGUAGGUCCCUUUCCUCAAGUAGUUCCAGUCUAGGUGAGAAGACAGACAAUUAUGCAAAGUUCAAUGGGAACCCAAGGGAAGGAACAGUGAAAUCCAAUUACAGUGCAUUUGAUCUAGCUCUUGAGGAUAAAUGAGGGUUUGCCAAACUGAGACUGGAAACCCCAUUUAAGACACAUGGAAUAGCACCUACAAAGGUGAGGCAGCCAGUCUGCUGGUGUGUUUAGCGAAGCUAUGUAAACUGGUGUGGCUGGAGAAUAGAGAUGUGGAUAAUAAGAUUGAAGGAAGUGGAUACCAGACUUUGAAGGUCAUUGCGUGCCAUGCUGAAGAGUUAGGCAUCAAAAAAGACACAAGUGUGACUUAAUCAGCAGCACCAUCAAGAAGACCGUCUUGCAACAGUCUUGCAGUUGAACUGGAGACUCGGGGUGCCCUAAAACUCAAGCAGUGGUCCUGAGGUUGAGGAGGAGGGGAAGGAGCUAGGAAACGGUUCAGAUCAUUUGGCUGUGUAGUGAGAGAGAAAACAAAAAUCGCUAACCUUUAACAGCUGAACAAUGGUUGGUGUCAGUAAGUGAGAUAAGAAUUCAGGGCUGGGCACAGUGGCUCAUACCUGUAAUCCCAGCACUUUGGGAGGCUGAGGUGGGUGGAUCACGAGGUCAGGAGUUCCAGACCAGCCUGACCAACAUGGAGAAACCCCAUCUCUACUAAAAAUACAAUAUUAGCUGGGCGUGGUGGUGCAUGCCUGUAAUCCCAGCUACUCGGGAGGCUGAGGCAGGAGAAUCACUUGAACCCAGGAGGUGGAGGUUGCAGUGAGCUGAGAUCACGACAUUGCACUGCAGCCUGGGCAAAAAGAAUGAAACUCCGUCUCAAAAAAAAAAAAAAGAAAGAAAGAAAUUCAAGCAAAAGGGGAGUGGGGUGAGGUCGGAGGGGAAUCCAGCCAGGUUCAGGGGACGGAGAGGAAAGCAGGACAGAGUCCAGAGUAGAAACAGGAAAGCAACCCUAGUGUCACGGUUAGGGUAGACUGCUGACAACGAACUUGGAGAUCUUUAUUCCCUCUAAGUCUUAACUAUCCAAGACCAUCAGUGAUCCAAGCUGGGAAGGUGUGUCUUCAGGAUCUUGACUUUCUGGCCCAUACCCUUAUAGUCUCCUGGAGAGCUCUGGAGCUUUGGGGACCUCAGGCUUGGAGCUGUUGAGGAAUGUCUAGGUUUCCAUUGCACAGAGGUGGAAG
rnacentral:lncRNA from 1 species